ensembl:lncRNA
AAGGAAUUUGAAAGGAUUUUUCAUAAGGAAUGUGAAAACUUGAAACCUGGAGAGCAUUUCCCUUCCAGUUCCAGCCCCCAUGUCGUUCUGUUCCCGUGCACUCAGAAGAACAAGUCGUGCUGCUUUGUUAUCCUAAAUCGCUUCUCGUGAGGAUAUGCCAGAGCAGGAAGCUCAGUGCAAAGUACAGCCAUCGCUUAACUGCAAUGCUGCGACUUAGUCAAAUAUUAUUAUCUAUAGGGGAUGAGGAGCGUGCACAAGGUUAAUGGCCCAUCUACGCUGCGGACCCAAUAGAUGUCAAAAAGGUUAUUUUUUUUUCCAGCCUAAAUGUGGUAACUGCAGACAGAGCUGCUAUCGCACUGUCUAUGGUUUCAUCCAGCAGACAGCAGGCAGACAUAAAGCUAUCUGAAAUAGCUGACGCUGUCACAAAGACAUCUACCACCUUCCUUCACUAUCCGACUGCUAAACGCAUUGCUUUUCAGUCUCAGAAACUUUAUUUUCCCUGGGAAGAUCCUAAGUGGAGAACGUGCUUAACUCAAGGCUCUACAGUUAGUAAUGGAUAAUCACUCUGCUCGCAAUCUCUGGUGCAGGAUUUCUGGAAUGCUCUCCAUGCAGCACAUCGCAGGCACACCUGUAACUUGUACACCUUCCAGCCUACCUAAAAACAUAGAGAGGCUCUCCAAAGGAGGAAAGGACCUGAACUGCUGCGGUGCUGGUUUCACAAGCUGCCUGGACAACUGCCUGCUGCGGUUGUCCCUAUCUGAACAGGGCUUGGGCCGUGGCAUGCUGUGCAGUUUCCCACCACGCGUGCAGGCUGGCCUCUCACAGCACGUACUCUCACCUGUGCCGUGGGUGGGAGCAGCUCACAAGCAUCUGUAAGCAGGAACGGGGCUGUGCUAGGGUGGCACUUCUAGCAUCCCGCUGGAACAUCAUUUAUUCUCUCCUGUUGGUUUUUGAUGCCCUCUUCUCUGCCAGAUAUUUAGCUGCACGUCCCAGCCAUCUUCCAGGCAGCUGCUGCCAAGAACACAGUCUUCUUGUUUGUACUGCUUCCUUUCCCAUUGAAUUGUGCCUGUCCAGGGCCCGCCCUGGGCUUUCCCUGGGGUGAAUGGCUCCAGUAGCAAUGGAACUGGAGGUGGGGCUCCAGCACAGUCCUGCAGGGCAGGGGCAGGUCCUGCAGAUGAAGUGCUGGUUGUUCACUCCCAUGACUCCCACGAGCGUCUGGGCUGACCUAAGCAGCCAUGCACCCCCCCGGAUGCUAAACAUCCAGAUCCACAUUCAUCCAAUAGAACUUUAAGUACAAAAGCCCACUCAAACUCAUCCUCUGGCCCUCACUGUAACACUGCUGAGAUAUCUGAGAUCUCAGUGAUGGUGACUUUUCCAUGCUAUUCCACAGGAAGAAAAAAAAGCAGAAAGAUGGGGACAGAAAGUUUGAGCUUCUUUCCAGGCUCCACAUUUUUUUGUGUCUUAUUUUUCUUUUUAAAGGUGGGAUUUUGAAAUAGGAGAGCAACGACUGAAGCUCACCAAUGCCCCUGGAGAGGUAACAAUCAGCUGUUUGACUUCUGAUAGCAGUGGAAGCAGGUGCAAUUCUUACUGCAUCUGUUACACCUCUGCAGGCGCUACUGCUGAAGCAUGCAGCAAAAAGCUCAGUCUUUCAGGCUGGUGACAGGAGGCUGAGAUGGACACAGAGUCACAACAACAGGGAUGCUUUAGAGGCAGCACUGCAUGAGCCUUGUCCCAGAGCCAGAUGCACCCGGUGGGAGUUCACACUGCAGGGAGACAUGCUUUUCUGUAGGAUGGUCCUCCCCUGAGACACCCCUGAAGGAUUAGUCAGACUCGCAUGCCUCAGGAGUAAAUGGGUACUGCAAAUACUGGAAGAAGAACAAAAAUAAAGCUGAGCAGAGCUGCAGCACAGGCCCAGGGAGCUGCCUGCAUGGCUGAGUGGGCCCAGGCUGUCCAUGAGGAGCCCUGCCUGGUGGGAAGGGAGCAGCUGGGAAGGGUCUGCCUGCAGCGUUCCUCAUGUUCAUCCCCUGCUCACCUGCAGAGCCCAGGGCUGUAGGGAGGUCCCUGCCCCUCGCUGCAACACCAGGGACAACCUGCCCUGCCUCUCACAAGGACAAGAGAAAAGGACAAGAGAAAAUGCCUGCAGCUGUCUUGCUCAUGGUGGGGUCCUGCAACAAUCCCAAGUAGCUACAUCACAGACAACACACCCAUGCUGUUUGUACAGCAGCAUCUCACAGAGCUCAGAGCCUGCUGCACUGAGUACAGACACAAGUGAUGCAUUGGAACAGGCUGCCCAGGGAGGUGGUGGGGUCAGCAUUCCUGGAGGUGCUCAGGGAAAGGGCAGAGGUGGUACUGAAUGAUGUGGUCUGGAAUGGGCACAGGCAUAGGUUAACAGCAAGACUGAAGGGUCGCAUAGAACUGUUGAGGCCGGACUAAUCAAUCAAUAAGUACAUGAACAAAAAAUGCUGUAGGUGCCAACAGGAAGAAUUAGUUCAGAACAGAAAAUAAUUUCCACAUCAUCCAUCUGAGGAGAAGGGGCCACAUCUGAAUGUUUGAACUGUGUGUAAACACUACAGCUAUGGCUGGAGAAGUAUGUUGAUAAAUCGCAUCUAUCCUGAGCAGGCCUGAGUGGUCUUUAGGCAGAGCAGGGCUGUUCAGUGGGACAGGAGAAUCAAUAUGGACUUUGUAAGUAGAAAGACUGCACAUAAGCAAGAUGAUUUACUUGCACAAAAUGCUAUUGUUUUAAAUGAAGCUCUGAACUCAGUAUUUUGAUAUCCAUAAAGAAUAAAACAGAAGUAAUUUUACCACCACAGGAAUGCACUGUUUUGGACUCAAAACCAACAAUGGUUCCCAGGCUUCCCUUCUGAGCCCCAGGAGGUACCAGCAGGCAUCUUCCCCACGAGAGGGGUUGUCAUCAUAAAGCAUUCAUUUGCUGAAAACAAAUAUAUUGGCUUCAACAAACUGGAAAAUGUUGGGAAUGGGACUGAAUCUGAGAGAAAAAGCUUAUAAUGAGCUUCUGGCCAUUCUGGGAUGCUUCUCCAGCCUGCUUUCUUUCUAAAAGAAAAUGAAAAUACA